rnacentral:lncRNA from 13 species
GUAAAAUGGCUUAAAGAGUGUUGUGGUUUUUCCUUUUAAAUUAAAGCUCUGUGGAGUUGACUCAGGAGUCUCAUGGUGGGAGGGGAAGAUUACAAGGCUGGGGUUCCAUGCUUCUUAUCUUUUUUUUUUUUUAACAGCUUUAUUGAGAUAUAGUUUAGGUACCAUACAAGUCACAUAUUUAAAGUAUAGAAUUCAGUGGUAUUGAGUAUAUUCACAAAUAUGUAACACUACCAUAGUCAAUUUUAGAAUAUUUUAUUAUCUCAAAAAGAAACUUUGUACCCUUUAGCUAUCACCUUCCCUGUGAUGGUUAAUAUUAACUGUCAACUUGAUUGGACUGAAGCAUGCAAAGUAUUGAUCCUGGGUGUGUCUGUGAGGGUGUUGCCAAAAGAGAUUAACAUUUGAAUCAUGGACUGGGAGAGACAGACUCACCUUCAAUACAGAGAUGUAGAAACACUUGAGAAAGCUCGAUGAUGUACUCCACCCACAAUGGAGAGGUGUUUAACAGGGAUUUUUGUUGCUGAUUUUAUGGAGGGACUGGCUUUCAGAAGUCUUUAAUUCACCAUUUUCGUUGAUGUCACUCUGUUACCAGAAAGACGUCUCAAUUCUGACCCCAAGAGAUGCUCCUUGGAUCUCAUGCAAGGAAGAUUUCAGGGGUCAUGGAUGAACCUGGAAACCAUCAUUCUCAGCACACUGACAGAAGAACAGAAAGCCAAACACUGCAUGUUCUCACUCGUAAGUGGGUGUUGAACAAUGAGAACACAUGGACACAGCACAGCUGGCCUUUGUUCUCCUGAAUCAGUCAUCAGCUCAGGCCAGGAGUGAGGCACCUCCCAUUAGGAGAAGGUAAUUCUUCACAGGAGAAGCCAGCUGUGAGCAGUUAGCACCCAACCCUCACAGCAGCUGGGGGUGGUUCACUGGCCUGGUAAGGACUCUUGAGUGUGGAACCAACAGAACGCACUGCAGCUUCAGACUUUUGUUCUUUGGAAGAGUUCUUCAGCUUCUUUUUCAAAAAGACACCUAAGGUAGGG